rnacentral:misc_RNA from 1 species
UAAAGGUGCAGCCUGAGUUGCAAUU